UAAUAAUGUAACUUAAUGUAUUAGAGUUGAUUUCAUCGAACAAUUGUAUUGUUAUAAACAGCAUUAGUCACUUCUAACAAACAGGCUAGUUCGGGCGCAAUCGCCUAGUCGGGUCCAAGAUCCCUCUGUUGUUUAAAUCACUUAUACAUACAUUUACUGAUUUACAUACAGUGGUUCUCUGAUUCACUAUGAGUCUAUGGUGCGAUCUGAUUGUGAAUGAAAUGACGAAGUAGUCUGCGAUAUCAGACUGAUUUCAACCGCUCAUCUUGGGGGAGGGGGGCGGCUGGGAUCAGUAUGCUAGCAGACUAUGUGCGAAGGUACGACGAAAUAACUUUCUUUGGUUUAGUAAAUUUAUUUAGUUUCGUUUAGUUUUAUUUUGUCCAGUCUGAGUUUAGUGGUACUGGCUUAAAAUACUGCCUCGUACCCAGGCGCUUUGGUUUGUUUCUUUCUCGGCAUCAAGCGCGCGGGUUA